rnacentral:rRNA from 1 species
GAUGAACGCUGGCGGCGUGCCUAAUACAUGCAAGUCGAGCGAACAGACGAGGAGCUUGCUCCUUCGACGUUAGCGGCGGACGGGUGAGUAACACGUAGGUAACCUACCUAUAAGACUGGGAUAACUUCGGGAGACCGGAGCUAAUACCGGAUAAUAUUUCGAACCGCAUGGUUCGAUAGUGAAAGAUGGCUUUGCUAUCACUUAUAGAUGGACCUGCGCCGUAUUAGCUAGUUGGUAAGGUAACGGCUUACCAAGGCAACGAUACGUAGCCGACCUGAGAGGGUGAUCGGCCACACUGGAACUGAGACACGGUCCAGACUCCUACGGGAGGCAGCAGUAGGGAAUCUUCCGCAAUGGGCGAAAGCCUGACGGAGCAACGCCGCGUGAGUGAUGAAGGUCUUCGGAUCGUAAAACUCUGUUAUUAGGGAAGAACAAACGUGUAAGUAACUGUGCACGUCUUGACGGUACCUAAUCAGAAAGCCACGGCUAACUACGUG